UACGGGAGGCAGCAGUGGGGAAUAUUGCACAAUGGGCGCAAGCCUGAUGCAGCCAUGCCGCGUGUAUGAAAAAGGCCUUCGGGUUGUAAAGUACUUUCAGUCGUGAGGAAGGUGUUAAGGUUAAUAACCUUAGCAAUUGACGUUAGCGGCAGAAGAAGCACCGGCUAACUCCGUGCCAGCAGCCGCGGUAAUACGGAGGGUGCGAGCGUUAAUCGGAAUUACUGGGCGUAAAGGGCACGCAGGCGGUUAAUUAAGUUGGAUGUGAAAUCCCCGGGCUUAACCUGGGAAUGGCAUUCAAGACUGGUUAGCUAGAGUCUUGUAGAGGGGGUAGAAUUCCAUGUGUAGCGGUGAAAUGCGUAGAGAUGUGGAGGAAUACCGGUGGCGAAGGCGGCCCCUGGACAAAGACUGACGCUCAUGUGCGAAAGCGUGGGGAGCAAACAGGGAUUAGAUACCCGU
rnacentral:rRNA from 1 species